UUUUGGUGACCCGUCUCUCUGACC
rnacentral:piRNA from 1 species